rnacentral:lncRNA from 1 species
UUUUUUUUUUUUUUUUUUUAAGAUUUAUUUAGCCUUCAUGAAUGACACAGAGAGAGACAGAAGGAGAAGCAGGCUCCUUGCAGGAGCCUGAUGCAGGACUCGAUCCCAGAACUCCAGGAUUAUGACCUGAGCCAAUGCCAGACGCUCAACCGCUAAGCCACCCAGGCAUCCCCAGGUUUCCAGUCUUUGGAGUAAAUUCCAGUCCUUAAUUGAGAGGUCUGGUGAGAGGUUACUGUUCAGUAGGACUUUGUUCCUCCCCAUGGUUCUACCCUCUCUCGUCUCUCUGUGUGUGUAUGUGUGUAUAUAACAUUCACUUCUUUCAGGCCCUGGAAACCCUACAAGGUCUUCUAUUUGGCCAACCGCAGAGUUUAAUAGUUGUACAAGCACAAUUGUCUUUCUUAUGAGACCCAGUUCUCUUAGAAAGACCUAUGUACAUAACUGGAAAAUAAAUCCCCAACACUGUUCUUACUCUGUGCAGUGAUUCUGCUGACAGCAGUGGAGAGGCUAACUAGAGGCUGCAGAGGGGCCUAACCUUACAUUAACAAAGCAUCUGGGGGAAUAAAGGCGCAGACAUCCUUUUUUCAAUGCUCUGGACUCAGUCUUUGCCAUAUAGUAUCUAAAGCUUUUGGAUCCUUACUGGAAAGGUAUGUUUUAAAAUGGAAACACGGUUAUUAUACCUAAUUUUCUGUCUCAUCUCCAGGUCUUUCAGUCAAACUAAAGUUUUUUUUCUAUUGAAAUUAUAAUUCUCUUUCUCUCCCUUUCUCUCUCUCUCUCCCUCUCUCCCUGUCUCUGUCUCUUUCUUAUGCAACUAGAAUGUGUCACUCGAUAUUAUAAUUGUUGUUUUUUUUUUUCUUUAAAAAAUGUCCAAGGCACACACUUGAAUAUUAGAAGCAGUUAUCAUGAGGGCCGGAGUAGGUUAUGUAGGUCAUGUGGUCCUUUUACAUUGUGCUUUUAUGCAUUUUGUAAUUAGGAAGAAAGUCACAUAAAAAUGUAUUAUAUUUCAGACUGUGCUUAUUGAAAUGUGAUGACUAUCUUCACAGCAAUACAUGUGCCAGGUGAUGCCUGGAUCUAUAACAUUUUCAUGUUAAGCAAAUAGAGACAUACAGUAAAAUAGAAAGCCAGACUCAGAUGGAUUUUUAAGCAAAACCAGGCACGUUUAGAGGUAUUUAUAUUUGUGGAUCCGGUUUGUACUACACCUGUAACUACUUCUUUGUCAAUAAGAAUUAUUUCCUUAGGGAACUUUGGAGGGAAAAUCCUAGAAGCCCUGGGUGUAAGUAAAGUGCUCAAGCAAUACCCAAUAGGAAUAUUCUAGAGCAUUUCUACACGGAUAGGAGAAGAUUGGGGCCCUUGAGAUCCCUUUUAAGUCUAAGGUUUUCUAAAUGCCUCUCUAAAAGCCAAGGUUUUCUAAAUGCAGGGCCUAAAAAAUAAAAAAUAAAUAAGCAAGGAGUAUCCUUGGAUUUGUAGUUUUGAGGUGAUUCUACUUGGAAGAGGAUCAUUUGUGUCAACUAGCACUUAACUUACACAGCAAGUUUCUUUUCUUGAGUACAGGAUCAGCUCAUACACUAAAUGAUGCUUUUCCAGGGCAAAAUACUACUACUACAAUGACUACAAGAAGUUUAUCAUGUUUCCUCACAUGUGCAAGAAAUAGAUCAACUCCCUAGUUGAUGUUUGGAGUUCAAAUCUUCUAUUUAAGCCACAGAUUCUUAGCUCAAGUAUAUUCGGUUUCACAACCACGAUCGUGGCUCUAGAGCAUAGCAAAGCAGAGGAGGCUGAGUGGAAGGAUUCCCAGUGUCCACCCCUGGCUCCAUGAGCCUCAGGACCAUGGAUGGGGCUCCAUAUAGAGUCACCACCAUGGCUGUGAUUUAUUACUGUGAGGCAUACAGAGAAAAAUCAGCAGAGGGCAAAGGUGGAAGGGGCCAGGUCCAGGGAAAGCCGUGCAUAUUUCCUAGGGUCCUUUCCAGUGGGGUCACAUAGACCUGCUUGCAACAGGUUGUGACAAUAUGU